rnacentral:tRNA from 1 species
GGUUGUGGCUCAGUGGUAGAACGCUUGCCUUGCAUGUGUGAGGCCCUGGGUUCAAUCCUCAGCACCA